GUAGGGAAUAUUGGGCAAUGGAUGCAAGUCUGACCCAGCCAUCCCGCGUGCCGGAAGAAGGCCCUCAGGGUUGUAAACGGCUUUUGACGGUGAAGAAUCGACAGGAUGCGUCCUGUUUUGACGGUAGCCGUUGAAUAAGCACCGGCUAACUCCGUGCCAGCAGCCGCGGUAAUAAGGAGGGUGCGAGCGUUGUCCGGAUUUAUUGGGUUUAAAGGGUGCGUAGGCUGAAAGGUCAGUCAGCGGUGAAAAGCUAUCGCUUAACGAUAGUCUUGCCGCAGAUACUUCCUUUCUUGGAUGAGGAGGAGGCCACAGGAACGGAUGGUGUAGCGGUGAAAUGCAUAGAUAUCAUCCAGAACACCGAUUGCGAAGGCAGGUGGCUGUACCUUAAUCGACGCUGAUGCACGAAAGCAUGGGGAGCAAACAGGAUUAGAAACCCCAGUAGUCC
rnacentral:rRNA from 1 species